GUCAAUUUCUGUCAUAAUUCAAUUUUGUUGGUUUAUUGUAGGGAGUGGGGGGAGGCAUGGGGAGACAGGGAGAGAUUGGUCCAAAGGGUUUCCCCGGACUUAAGGGGCCCAAAGACGAGCCUGGAGAUAAAGGAGAACCAGGAGAGCAGGUGAGGCUGAUUGAUAUUUUCUUUCUAGAGAACAUCUAAAUUGUUCAUUAAGAUGACUGUCUGAAUGUCUUUGUCGGGUCCAGGGGCCAGAGGGUCUUCCAGGCGACAGGGGGCACCAAGCGUCUCCUGGAUUGGAGGUAGGAACACAGACAUGUGAACUGUGGUGUUGAUAUGUCUUUGGCAACAUGACGUAAGUUGGUAAACAUUUUGGUUGAUGUUUUUUUCUACUCAUCCCUACUCUUAGGGUUUGCCUGGUGAGGUGGGGCCUCAGGGAACUGUUGGCCCACCAGGACCUUUGGGACCAAAAGGUCGAACAGGCCCUGAGGGGAGACUUGGCCAGAAAGGUCAAAAGGUCAGGUUAAGCUUCACCUUUCACCUGUCUUUACAUCUACAUAUAUAGUAUUUAACACUCUGUCCCAUUCUGACAUCCUACCUGUAUCAAAGGCCAUAUCAUAAUGUCCACUUAGUGUAGUAUGUGAUUGUAGGUCUUUCUUUUUGUCAGGGGUAUGAUGGUCGAAAUGGGUAUCCAGGAAAGACCGGACACAUUGGAAGGAGGGUGAGAAUUACACCAUUGCUUAUUCAGUCUCUCUUUUUCAUAUGUUAAAAAUGUAUCGUUCCAACUAAUAUGGAUCUUGAUUCUUCAUUUGAUUCUAAAAGCUGUUCUUGUUUCCAUGUAAGGGGAAUAGAGGAAAAACUGGAAGCAAAGGCUUAGGUGGAGAGAGAGGAGAAAAGGGAAAGAGGGGAGAUUUUGGUUCAACCGGGCCUCCAGGACGACAAGGGCCUUACGUAAGUUAUUUGAUCUGUUUUGGAAAGGCACUUUUCAAUGCCAGGAGGAUUAGCUCUAUAACUCAAUCACUGGGUCCCCAAAACUCAGGAAAUAACUUCCCUUGUUUCUCUCAAAGGGGACACCUGGCUUACAAGGAGAGAAGGGUCUAAUGGGUGGACCAGGUAUAGAGGUAAGACCUUGACUGA
rnacentral:lncRNA from 1 species